rnacentral:SRP_RNA from 1 species
GCUGGGCGCGGUGGCAGGUCCCUGUAGUUCCAGCUACUCGGGAGGCUGAGGUCGGAGGAUCGCUUGAGCCCAGGAGUUCUGGGCUGCAGUGCACUAUGCCAAUCGGGUGUCUGCACUAAGUUCGGCAUCAAUAUGGUGACCUCCCGGGAGGGGGGGACCACCAGGUUGCCUAAGGAGGGGUGAACCGGCCUAGGUCAGAAACUGGAGCAGGUCAAAACUCCCAUGCUGAUCAGUAGUGGGAUCGAGCCUGUGAAUAGCCACUGCACUCCAGCCUGGGCAGCAUAGGGAGACCCUGUCUCU